rnacentral:tRNA from 1 species
AGACCUCUUACUUUUAAAGGAUA